CGCCCGCGAGCGCGCACGGCGCAACUUUACCGCGGGCGCUCCCGCUCGCUGGCCCGCGGCUGCCGGUCCUCUCCCGCCCGUGCCCGCCCCGCAGCCCGUGCCCGCCCGGCAGCCCGCGCACGCCCGCCCCAAGUUCGUUCCCCGCCACCGCGGCCUGCGCGGAGGGAGGAUCGGGCGCGGGGAGACGCCGAGGGGCGGCAAGAGUGGAGAAAGUGCAGAAAAAGCAACUGCCGUUCCACCCGCGGACGGAAAAGUGGCCGGGCGCGGCGGCGGGAUUCGGCAAGGCUAACCGUCCCCGGCGGACGCGCGAGCCGCUAGGCGCAGAGGCAGACGCUCGGGUUUCCCCAGCCUACGCGGACAGGAAGUGACAGCAGUUGGGUUGAACUUUAGCUGGACACAGAAGGAGGCUAGAAAUUCUGCUCUCAGGAAAGCAGCAUGAGUAAUCGCCUGCAAGGUGCCAGACUCACUUCCUAAUCCUUGCCUAGCUCACCUGCUGUCACCUUGCCUACCCCGCCCUGCAGGGUCCUAGGGUGGCCAGGUUCAUGGGCCUUGUGACUUGCCCAGGAGGCAUAAACACCCUAGGAGAGCAUGCCUGGAAACCUGUAAUCCAAAAUGUCCAGAGCAUGAGACAGGAGGGUGGCCAAGUGUUCAAGCUAGCCUGCACUACAGUGGAGCUCUGACUCAAAAUAACCUCAGAUUCACACAUAUCUGAGCAGUUUAAUGACCUCGAGGCUAAAAGCAAAGCUGGCUAGUGUUCCCUGAGGCUGAUUAUUACCUGAAGUCCUUGACUUUGUACAAAACCCAAAAUGCCUUGAUACUCGUCUUCAGUAAUUAGAAUUUAAAUUUACCUUUCUCUCCCUGCUUCCCACCCCUUUUAAAGGAGGAGUUGUUAAGGGACAACUUUUUUGAGGUAAGUGACCUAAGCCAUUAUUUCAGAUAAGCAAUUAUUAAAUGUUAAUGUAUAAAUGUGAGAGUUAUGGAUAGAAGCAACUGAAACAUGCCUUAGAGUAUAAGGAAUAAUACACUAAACCAGCACAGUGCUGAUGCAUGAAAGCUGCCUGGUAAGUUUCUGCCAGCAGAUGUUGCCGUGCCUGAGGCAGGAUAUUUAUUGUGUGAGUAGUCAUGGUGACAUACACCAGCAGUCUAUGCUUAUGGGAGGUGGAGCAGUGAAGGUCACAAGUCUCAGACCAACUCUGGCUGUAUAGUGAGACCCUGUCUGCUCUCA